GCCGGUGCGAAACCGGCGCUGUCCCGCAACUGUGAUGCCCCGCACGCGGCGUCGGCCACCGGCCGGCGCUGACGACUGCGGGGACGAGCCAGG
rnacentral:ncRNA from 1 species